CCCCUGCCCCCCGCCUCGUUUCCCUUCUUCCCCAGGUGCGCGGCGGCUGGCGUGGGAGCCAGCAAGCCCCGCCGUUGCCAAGUGGGUGACUACGCCCGCUUGGUGGGGAAGGAAAGUGAAUUUAGAGAGAAUGACAAGGGUUUCCUGACCGACAGUUGGCCGCCUCCAGGAGGAACCCACCCCCGCCCCAUAAAAAAGGCAUUUUAUUGGCCACCGUGUUGCGUCUUUUACAUGCUCGCCCAUUGGAUUCUCACAAGGACCCUAAAAAAUCUUAAUGGAAGCCAGCUGGUUUCUCCUAUUUGCUGCUGCAUUCCAUAUGUCCUGAUAUUCCUAUAAGCUCUGGAAACUUCCACUGUCCCUUCCUCAGGAAGAAAAGGACAUACUGAGGUUGGUGGACUUGCUUCAAGUUUCAUUAAUUUUAUUUGUCGUCUGAGGGGAGGAGCUGUCACCAGUGCUGUGUGUCUGUCCUAUGUACCCCUCUCUAUCACCACUGCCCUGUUCUAACCUGAGCUUUGACCCCAUCUGGGACCAGGAGAGACAAAACCUUGCUCACACUUGCCUUCUUCUGAUGGGAAGGGCUUUGUCAUAGGCCCUUCUUUAGGGCUUAGAGAGACUCUAGAAGGCCUGACUGAAGUGAGGACAGAAGCCCUAUUCAAGGCAUUACACAUGUGGACCUUCUCCUUCCCCAGGGGGUGCUGGGGGUAAGGCAGAGUCCAGCCAGCAGUUUAGCAUCUGGAACAAAUGGUACAAAAUGGAUCUCAACAACACUUAGUGAAUGGACACUGUUCAUUAGAAUGUUAUCUCACUCAUUCAGCAUUAUUUUGUUUAUAUAUUUUAAGAUAUCAACAAAUACUUAAUGGUUGCUUUAGUGUUGCCAGAAAGAGCAUUUACAAAUAAUCAUCAUUUAAUUUUUAUUUGGAACAUUAAUUCUACCUAUCUAGUUAUAGCAUCAUGAGUUGAGUUUUUAAAAGAACACUUGGUGGGGAGAAAGGUCAGUACAAUUCUCAAAUAGGAGCUUCCAUCCCCUUCUCCAAGCCCCUUGGAAUUCUAUCACUGGUGUGCAGAAGCGGAGAAAGUCACAAACCCCCAAGUUCCUUGAGGAGGCCUGUGGACCCCUGGGGAGGCACACAGCAGGGAGAACUCUCAAUGGCAGGGCAGAGCCAACAGGAAGAGGGGAGGGUGCCUGAUGAGGAGUGAGAUGAGGCCAGGCUCCAGUGAAUGACCUGCUUUGUCCUCUCAGAGCCCUCUGAGAGAGGAUUAGGUAACAGAUUGGCUGAAACCACUGUCAUCCUAGCCAUGAAAAGGGUCAGGGAAGGCAACUGGGAAGACAGAAAGCCAGUGAUGAUUUCCACCAUCUGUUUCCUCUUCAGAAGGUGAAUUCUAAGGAGGGUUGAACACCUGCCUGGAACGUGCAGGUGUGUGCCAGACUGCAAACUCUGAGAGGUUCAGGGAGAAAAUUAAAUCGCUUUGGAAAAGAGAAGGAACAGCUUGAGGAGUAUGGGAGAGGGGAGGGCUUGGUGCCCUGGAACAAAGAAGUAAGGCCACUGUGGCCAAAGUACAAGCUAGGGGAAGAAGAACAUCAUUGGGUGGGGAUUGGAAUACAUUCUGCUGUGUGGCAUGGGAUGGAUCACUCUUUUCAGACUCUUCAUGACAUCUUUAGUAAAAUGUAGACUCCUCAUUAAUGACAUGUUUCAGGUUUACUUUUUAAGGGAUACAGCUAUGUGUUGAAUCCUACUGUGAGGCAGGUGCAAGGGUGAGAUCAGAGGAUGCGCAGUGACAUGCUCAUUUCUACUUCUUUGGUCAAAGCAAGUCCAGUGGCCACAUCCAAGCUCAGAGUUUAUUAAUUCUGUGUGUUUCCUAUGAGGAAGAGUUGUUCAUGUCUGUCUCAUCCACCAGGACUGGAAGGGCCUCCAUAGUCAGAUCAUUCUUACCCAUCCCUGUCCUCUGGUGCCUAGCACAGUGCUUGGCACAGAGUAGGUACUCGAUUAGUGUUUAUUUCAUGAAAAUAUCUCUGGAUUUGCCUUAUCUUCCCAUUGCCACCAUUCUAAGUCUAGGUUAGACCUGGACUAUUCUAGCAUCUUUUCCACGGCUCCCAUCUUUCCAGGCUCUCCCACUGCAAACGUAACCUGCAUUCCAUCACCACGGAUCUCUAACACCACCCUGACUGUAGUUUUCAUUGACUUAUGAAACUUUAGCACUUCUACCCUUCCCUCCUUGGAAAUCUUAAAGGACCUCUCAUUGCCUAGAAUCACAUCUACAUUCUUCAUCCUGAGUUUGAAAGAUAGAAAGAACUCAGAUGUGUCAAAAGCUCUUGCAAAACAUUUGUAGUGAUUCAGGUGUGAGUUACCUCUGGUAGUCAUUACUCUUUCCAGUUUUCUCUCACCCAGAUACACGCUAAGAAAGCCUUUUCCUGGUUCUUAAGUUUUGGUGUGGCCAUUGGAUUUGCAUUGGUCCAAGAAGCGGAAACGAGUGUGUCACUGGGUGGAAGCCUUAAAAAUCUAUGCAUGAUUUGCCCCGCUUUACUUUUCCAAGAGUAAAGUGACUCUGGCACACCCUCAGCCCAUACCCUGGGGUGAGGACCUCACAGAGGAAAUCCUGUGGGCUGAUCUGAGACAGGUGUAUGGCAGGAAUUGCUGUUCCCAUUUACAAAACAGGAACCACUACCACCUCAUAUGACAGAAGGGAAGAGGGAUGGAGGCUACAUCACUUGCCCAGUUCACUCUUUUAUUCAGGAGUAGAACCUGAUACUUCCAGUGAGAGAUUCAUCAUCUUGCGAGGUGGCCUCACUUGGUCCCUCCAGGAAGACUUGUGGGUAGAGUGAAAGGCACAGAAGCUUUGUUGUUAGACUGACCUGGUUCAAAUACCAGCUUUGGUGUUUACCACAGAGUCCCACUUGUCAACAAUAUGAAUCUGUACUGUAAGUUUAUGAGAAGGGUGAAAUAAGCUAGGGUGGAGAGCCCUGGCAGGCAUGUGUGGGGACUUGGUGUAGGUCAGUUAGCCUUGUCCCUUUCCCAGUCUGCUGUCCUCUUGAACCCUGGAUUGACCACACUCACUGUCAUCUCUGAGGUCUUACUCAAGGUGUGCUCUCUGAUUAUAAAUCUUUCCCCAGCUCCUCCCCACGUCCCUCUCAGGGCCCCGCUGAAGUCCCCACUUCUCCACACUGCUUCUUCCUCCAUUCCUGUUCACACUCUUCCCCCUUAGCUCCAGACAUUUAGUCAGCCAAAAUGAAUUUAAUUGUUACACUGGUGAGAAGCUGAUCUCCCUAAUUAUACCAGACAUACCUUGAGGGCAUUGGCUUCCUGCAUCCCUUCCUGCAGCCCCAGCCCUAUCUUUUAUUGAGUGAGUGUCUCUAGGCACCUCCUGUCACAUCACUGUGCCUAAUUCUUCCUUUAUACAUGUCAGGAGUCCCUUAAGGAGCUCUGAAGACUGUCCCACUCAUGACUACCAAGUGAGUAAACUCAACUGGGCUGAGUCUACAAAUAAGAAGUGACCCCCAGGAAUGGGUUGGCUUUCCUGAGUACCUCUAUGAAACAGGCAUUAUAUCCAGUAUCUUGCAUUAUCUCCAGUUGUCAGAAGGGUUAUGGGGUAUUUAUAGCUGAAGAACACAAACUUCGGAGAUAUUUGGUAACUCAGUUGGCAAUAAUCACUUGAGAAUGAUUUCUUGUUAAUUACCUGAUAUGUAUGUGUCAAGGACUGUGCUAGUGAUUCAGAGAGGUGAAUACAGUAGACAUGAUCCCUAGUUUCGUGGAACUCACAGCCCAGCUGACAUGACAUUAAUGAUUCUGUCAACCCCCCUUCUCUGGCACAUUCUUGUGCCAUUGUUUUUUUUUUUAAGAUUCUAUUUAUUU